rnacentral:sRNA from 1 species
UGAUACUUGCAAAAUAUUCGAAAAAAAUGUCCGAACAUAUAAUUUCCCCCCCGUAAUAUAGCAAAGAUCACGAAAAGGCCCAAAAAAGUACAUUAAGUUUAAAAUUUGGAGUAGAAAAAAAACCAAUAGAAGAAUUCCAUUUUCCUUCCUCAGUCAUCGGAGAGCUCUCUUUGGGCUUUCCGAAAAGUUAUCACAUGCCAAGUUUGACCUCACGGUCUAAAGGUUAUAGAGUCAUACAUUUUUAACAAAAAAAAAUAGAAAAACAGGAAAAAAGAGGGAUGCAAUACGAGGACUUUCCAGCAGGUCACCCAUCCUAGUACAACUCUCGCCAAAGCACGCUUAACUGCGGUGUUCAGAUGGGAUCUGGUGCAUUAGUGCUUGUAUGAUGGCAUUUGUUACUACAUGCAAUGCAAUCGUAUCGAUUCUUAUUUAAAGACUUUAUGAUCCAUUUGUCGUGGGUGCCA